rnacentral:rRNA from 1 species
UACGGGGGGGGCAAGCGUUGUUCGGAAUUACUGGGCGUAAAGGGCUCGUAGGCGGCCAACUAAGUCAGACGUGAAAUCCCUCGGCUUAACCGGGGAACUGCGUCUGAUACUGGAUGGCUAGAGGUUGGGAGAGGGAUGCGGAAUUCCAGGUGUAGCGGUGAAAUGCGUAGAUAUCUGGAGGAACACCGGUGGCGAAGGCGGCAUCCUGGACCAAUUCUGACGCUGAUGAGCGAAAGCCAGGGGAGCGAACGGG